rnacentral:lncRNA from 1 species
AACCAUCAAGAGAUGUUACAUGUAUUACAACAAUGGAAGCCUUAGAAAUUGAAAGAAGAAAAACUUUCAUGAAUGUUGUUAAUGGCAACAAAUCAUCGUCGCUCCCACUAUCGUGGAAAUGGUGCGCACGACACUCAGUCUAAGUCCACAUGUGUUUCACCCAAAUCCAGCUGCCUAUAUCCACAGAACGACUAUGAAUGGUCUUUUGGCUCUUGCACCCUAAAAAUGCUUGGAUACUUCCGACAUAGUAUAAUUAUAUACAGUCGUUAUGUUGCACUUUAAAUGUAUAAGUAGUAUAAG